rnacentral:lncRNA from 10 species
AUGCACGCUCGUGCACACGUACUCAUGCACACAUAGUGUCUUCUGUAAUCUCAUUAGGCAGUAAAAUUUCAGAAUAUAAAAAGUUAACUGAUUCCUUUUUCAAUGCUCAUAUGAAAUAAUCCUAGCAUAUUUUGGACCACUCUCAAGCAGAGGGAGCUUAACUUUAUUAAAUUCAAAGCAAACAAGUAACACUUUAACAGGAGACAUAAAUUAAGAUGUUUAUUCCCAGUAAAUUUUUAAAAAAGGUCUCAAUAGCUUUUUACUUACAUUAAACAUCUUUUGCCCGAAGUCAUAUAAUUAGUAGCAAAGCUGGUGUGUUAAGUCCUAUUUCAAAAAUAUCCAGUUCAUAAGCUUCAAACUCUUUUGCUUAGGAAACUUCAUGAUUUGGAUCCUGCUCCCUUAUCUGACCUAAUCCUCAAAAAACAUUAUUGCAGCCACACUAAGCUACUUGAAGAACCCCGGCUAAAUCAUUCUGCAUCAUAAUAGCAUUUGCAUUAAAAAAUAUAGUUCUCUUAGUCUAAAGUGGACACUGCCUGCUUAUACGAUUACAGAAAUUCUAAAAAAUACCAGCUCAAACAUCACUUACGCAAGAGACUUCUCUUACUCUUCUCACACCUACUGCCUCUGUUCUGCUUGUUUCAGAUGUCUUCCCCAACGCUCCUAUGAUUUCUAUUUUAAUACCUACUACACUUCACAUAAUUGCUAAUUAGUUUGCCAGUCUACUAUGAACAAUCUUUGGAAGCAGAGAUCACUUGUUAUUUGACUUUAUUUUCCCAGUGACUUGAUUUGAAAUGUAUUUUGAAGUUAAAAGUCAAUGAGUCUGGCUUCUAAUUGGACAUAAGAAAUAAAGAAAAAAGAGGAAUUAAGAAUAAUUCUUGAUUUUUGACUUGAACAAGUGAAUAAAUGGUUGUACCACUACAUGCAACAGGAAAGCCUGAGAUAUUUAUUGGAAAUAAAUUUAAUGGAGAGGUCAAAGAGCAAUCUUAAUUUCAGGGAGAAAAGUGCUAGGCUAGAUAUAUAAAUUAGGGUGUUAUAAGCACACAGAUGGCAUCUAAAGCCCUGGGAAUGGGUAUUACCCAGGGAGACUGAACAAAGCCUGGCACUGUAAUAUUUUAGUGUGAGAAAGAGCACAGGAGAAAGAAGGAAAACUAGAAGAGUACAGUAUUUAGUGCUGGGCAUGGUGGCUCAUGCUUGUAAUCCCAGCACUUUGGGAGGCCGAGGCAGGCAGACAGAUCACUUGAGGCCAGGAGUUCGGGACCAGCCUGGCCAACAUGGCUAAACCCUGUCUCUACCCGCUGCCCCCCCGCCCCCCACAAAAAAAGAGUGUGGUAUUUAGGAAGUUAAAAAACAAGUGUUUUAAGAAGUGGGGAGGACUAUGCCAGGCGCAGUGGCUCACACCUGUAAUCCCAGCACUUUGG